rnacentral:rRNA from 1 species
GACGAACGCUGGCGGCGUGCUUAACACAUGCAAGUCGAACGGAAAGGCCCUGCUUUUGUGGGGUGCUCGAGUGGCGAACGGGUGAGUAACACGUGAGUAACCUGCCCUUGACUUUGGGAUAACUUCAGGAAACUGGGGCUAAUACCGGAUAGGAGCUCCUGCUGCAUGGUGGGGGUUGGAAAGUUUCGGCGGUUGGGGAUGGACUCGCGGCUUAUCAGCUUGUUGGUGGGGUAGUGGCUUACCAAGGCUUUGACGGGUAGCCGGCCUGCGAGGGUGACCGGCCACAUUGGGACUGAGAUACGGCCAAGACUCCUACGGGAGGCAGCAGUGGGGAAUAUUGCACAAUGGGCGGAAGCCUGAUGCAGCAACGCCGCGUGCGGGAUGACGGCCUUCGGGUUGUAAACCGCUUUCGCCUGUGACGAAGCGUGAGUGACGGUAAUGGGUAAAGAAGCACCGGCUAACUACGUG